AAACUUUGGAGAGAGAGUCAAAGAGACCGCGAAACCGUUAGGAGGGAAACGAACGUGGCCAUGAAGACUCCCUUCAGGUUCAGGGAGCCUCGGAUUGGGCGUUUGCGAGGCCGGGGACCCGCGAUCGGGCUCCGCCGGCGCAAGUCCUUCCAGGCUCCUGCAAUCCCGUCUGGAGUCCGCCAACGGCGGUCGUUCGCGGUCGAGGAGGGCCGUGGGGUAGGUGCCUCUUGGGCGGUCUCGGCCAGGAGAACUUAUAGCCUUNGGCCCGGUGGACCGGGAACGGCCGAGGAGCGUUGCGACCAGUCGCACGGCGUAGCGCAGGCUCCGCAGGGGCCGGGUCGCUCCCGGACUUGCGUGCCUCGCGGCCAGCCACUGCCCGCAGUGGCGGUCGACGGUGGGUGCGCUCGUGCGGGAGACGGACCACGAUUUGCGCUGAGGUCGUUG
rnacentral:rRNA from 1 species